rnacentral:rRNA from 1 species
AUUGAACGCUGGCGGCAUGCUUUACACAUGCAAGUCGAACGGCAGCGCGGGCUUCGGCCUGGCGGCGAGUGGCGAACGGGUGAGUAAUGCAUCGGAACGUGCCCAGUAGUGGGGGAUAGCCCGGCGAAAGCCGGAUUAAUACCGCAUACGACCUGAGGGUGAAAGCGGGGGACCGAAAGGCCUCGCGCUAUUGGAGCGGCCGAUGUCGGAUUAGCUAGUUGGUGGGGUAAAGGCUUACCAAGGCGACGAUCCGUAGCUGGUGUGAGAGGACGACCAGCCACACUGGGACUGAGACACGGCCCAGACUCCUACGGGAGGCAGCAGUGGGGAAUUUUGGACAAUGGGGGCAACCCUGAUCCAGCCAUGCCGCGUGCGGGAAGAAGGCCUUCGGGUUGUAAACCGCUUUUGUUCGGGAAGAAAUCCUCUGGGCUAAUACCCCGGGGGGAUGACGGUACCGGAAGAAUAAGCACCGGCUAACUACGUG